GAUAAUAGCUUUGGUUUUGAAAAACUAUUUCUAUUUCAAUUAUCCAUACUACUAUUAGUAUUAUAUAGUAAAAAUCUUU
rnacentral:tRNA from 1 species